rnacentral:rRNA from 1 species
CCUACGGGAGGCAGCAGUAAGGAAUAUUGGUCAAUGGACGCAAGUCUGAACCAGCCAUGCCGCGUGGAGGAUUAAGGCCCUCUGGGUUGUAAACUCCUUUUAUCUGGGAAGAAAUGCCAUUUUUCUAAAUGGUUUGACGGUACCAGAGGAAUAAGCACCGGCUAACUCCGUGCCAGCAGUCGCGGUAAUACGGAGGGCGCAAGCGUUAUCCGGAUUCACUGGGUUUAAAGGGUGCGUAGGCGGGCAGGUAAGUCCGUGGUGAAAUCUCUGAGCUUAACUCAGAAACUGCCAUGGAUACUAUUUGUCUUGAAUACUGUGGAGGUAAGCGGAAUAUGUCAUGUAGCGGUGAAAUGCUUAGAUAUGACAUGGAACACCAAUUGCGAAGGCAGCUUACUACACAAAUAUUGACGCUGAGGCACGAAAGCGUGGGGAUCAAACAGGAUUAGAUACCCUGGUAGUCCACGCCCUAAACGAUGAUUACUCGACAUCAGCGAUACACUGUUGGUGUCUGAGCGAAAGCAUUAAGUAAUCCACCUGGGAAGUACGUUCGCAAGAAUGAAACUCAAAGGAAUUGACGG